CUGCACAUUUCAAGCGUUGGGAAGCCAGGUUUUUGAAGGGAUGUUUCCUUCGCGGAGUGGGCACGCCCACCUUGCCCAGCCUGGAGCUCUGGCGCCCAGAGCUGCCGUUCAGGAUGCUUUUGUGUCCUUAACAAAGUGCCCGAGCUUUUAUCGUAAGGUGGAGAGAGGACGACAGUAUUUUCUUUGGUAUCAAGGGCAACGCGGUUAUUUCAAACCUCAGAGGUCGUGGUGAAAGGAGAUAAGACACUCAGAGAGAAGGUACGGGCUUCGUUGGACCAGCAAGGCCGCAGACGUGUCCAUAAAUAACCCCUGCCUGCUGCACCGCAACAGGGGGGAAAAUCCCUGUGAAAUGAAUACAGGAAUCACUGGUCACACGGUGUCACCCAGACACACACACACACACACACACAGAUCAACUUUUUUUGCCCUAAAGAAAAAGAAACUGGGGUAGAGGAAAGCGAAGAAGAUACAGGAGCGACGGGGGUGGCUGAGGGAAGGCUUGAACAGGCAGGAGAGUAACAGCUCGGAGAGCCCUUCCAGGUGUUGGAUCCCGCGGGGAGCAGGGACCCGGCUCGCGCAGGGCCUCGCGGUCUCUGGGCGCCUGGCGCCCCCUGGUGGAAAUCUCCGUGGACGCCUUCCUAUUGUGAGGGGCUUUUCCGAAAGUGGCAAUUCAUUAAAUAUGCUUAAAUAAUG